rnacentral:rRNA from 1 species
CCUACGGGGGGCAGCAGUGGGGAAUAUUGCGCAAUGGGCGAAAGCCUGACGCAGCGACGCCGCGUGAGGGAUGAAGGUCUUCGGAUCGUAAACCUCUGUCAGCAGAGAAGAACGGUCACUGUGCUAAUCAGCAGUGAAUUGACGGUACCUGCAAAGGAAGCACCGGCUAACUCCGUGCCAGCAGCCGCGGUAAUACGGAGGGUGCGAGCGUUAAUCGGAAUUACUGGGCGUAAAGCGCUCGUAGGCGGUAUGUCAAGUCAAGGGUGAAAUCCCCGGGCUCAACGUGGGAACUGCCUUUGAAACUGGCAAACUGGAGUGUGGUAGAGGAUAGUGGAAUUCCAGGUGUAGGAGUGAAAUGCGUAGAUAUCUGGAGGAACAGCAGUGGCGAAGGCGACUAUCUGGCACAUAACUGACGCUGAGGAGCGAAAGCGUGGGUAGCAAACAGGAUUAGAUACCCUAGUAGUC